rnacentral:rRNA from 1 species
UACGUAGGGAGCAAGCGUUGUCCGGAAUCAUUGGGCGUAAAGCGCGCGUAGGCGGCUCGGAAAGUCGGGCGUGAAAUGCCGGGGCUCAACCCCGGGUCUGCAUUCGAUACGGGCUAGCUAGAAUGUGGUAGGGGGAGAUCGGAAUUCCUGGUGUAGCGGUGAAAUGCGCAGAUAUCAGGAGGAACACCGGUGGCGAAGGCGGAUCUCUGGGCCAUUACUGACGCUGAGGAGCGAAAAGCGUGGGGGAGCGAACAGG